UCCAGACUCCUACGGGAGGCAGCAGUGGGGGAUAUUGCACAAUGGGGGGAACCCUGAUGCAGCGACGCCGCGUGGGUGAAGGAGCGUUUCGGCGCGUAAAGCCCUAUCGGCAGGGAAGAAGGAGGACGGUACCUGACUAAGAAGCCCCGGCUAACUACGUGCCAGCAGCCGCGGUAAUACGUAGGGGGCAAGCGUUAUCCGGAUUUACUGGGUGUAAAGGGGGCGCAGACGGCAGCGCAAGCCAGGAGUGAAAGCCCGGGGCCCAACCCCGGGACUGCUCUUGGAACUGCGCGGCUGGAGUGCAGGAGGGGCAGGCGGAAUUCCUGGUGUAGCGGUGAAAUGCGUAGAUAUUAGGAGGAACACCAGUGGCGAAGGCGGCCUGCUGGACUGCAACUGACGUUGAGGCUCGAAGGCGUGGGGAGCAAACAGGAUUAGAUACCCGUGUA
rnacentral:rRNA from 1 species